rnacentral:misc_RNA from 1 species
UCAAACUUGGUCAUUUAGAGGAAGUAAAAGUCGUAACAAGGUUUCCGUAGGUAAGUGGAAGCUUUCCAUCUUACACCCCUCCAUAGCCCAUACUUACAUCUUUCCAUGCUUGAAUAACGUGCUGACUUUACUCUUAGGUGAACCUGCGGAAGGAUCAUUACCGAGUGCGCCCUUCCGUAAAAAAGAAGGGUACCUCCCGUCCUUUGCUGGGCCCCUAGAGGGCUUAUUUUAAACUUCUGCUUCGGCGGGGUUACCCGCCGAAACACCCUCAAAACUCUUUAUAAACCGUUCCGUCCGAGAGCUUUUAUGAAUUAGAAAACUUUCAACAACGGAUCUCUUGGUUCUGGCAUCGAUGAAGAACGCAGC